AUUGAACGCUGGCGGCAGGCCUAACACAUGCAAGUCGAGCGAGCGGCGGACGGGUGAGUAAUGUAUGGGGACUGCCCGUUAGAGGGCGAUAACUACUGGAAACGGUGGCUAAUACCGGAUCCUGUCGGCUAACGCAUAUGGGAUUAGCUAGUAGGUAAGGUAAUGGCUUACCUAGGCGACGACCCCUAGCUGGUCUGAGAGGAUGAUCAGCCACACUGGGACUGAGACACGGCCCAGACUCCUACGGAGGCAGCAGUGGGGAAUAUUGCACAAUGGGCGCAAGCCUGAUGCAGCCAUGCCGCGUGUAUGAAGAAGGCCCUAGGGUUGUAAAGUACUGUCAGUCGGGAGGCGUUACCGACAGAAGAAGCACCGGCUAACUCCGUGCCAGCAGCCGCGGUAAUUC
rnacentral:rRNA from 1 species